UACGGAGGGUGCAAGCGUUAAUCGGAAUUACUGGGCGUAAAGGGUGCGUAGGUGGUUAAUUAAGUUAGCUGUGAAAUUCCUGGGCUUAACCUGGGGUGGUCAGCUAAGACUGAAUAACUUGAGUAUAGGAGAGGGUAGUGGAAUUUCCGGUGUAGCGGUGAAAUGCGUAGAUAUUGGGAGGAACACCAGUGGCGAAGGCGGCUUACUGGUCCGGUUCUGACGCUGAGGCGCGAAAGCGUGGGGAGCAAACAGG
rnacentral:rRNA from 1 species